rnacentral:tRNA from 1 species
GAGGAUAUAGCUCAGUGGUAGAGUGUGUGCUUAGCAUGCACGAGGUCCUGGGUUCAAUCCCUAGUACCUCCA